rnacentral:piRNA from 1 species
UUGUAGCGUUUAUUUUUUGCU